CCUACGGGAGGCAGCAGUGAGGAAUAUUGGUCAAUGGACGAGAGUCUGAACCAGCCAAGUAGCGUGAAGGAUGACUGCCCUAUGGGUUGUAAACUUCUUUUAUAAAGGAAUAAAACGAGGCACGUGUGCCUUUUUGCAUGUACUUUAUGAAUAAGGAUCGGCUAACUCCGUGCCAGCAGCCGCGGUAAUACGGAGGAUCCGAGCGUUAUCCGGAUUUAUUGGGUUUAAAGGGAGCGUAGGUGGGUUGUUAAGUCAGUUGUGAAAGUUUGCGGCUCAACCGUAAAAUUGCAAUUGAUACUGGCAGUCUUGAGUACAGUUGAGGUAGGCGGAAUGCGUGGUGUAGCGGUGAAAUGCUUAGAGAUCACGAAGAACACCGAUUGCGAAGGCAGCUUACUAAACUGUGACUGACAUUGAUGCUCGAAAGUGUGGGGAUCAAACAGGAUUAGAUACCCUGGUAGUC
rnacentral:rRNA from 1 species